rnacentral:tRNA from 1 species
GCCCUUAUAGCUCAGCAGGUAGAGCGCAUCCUUGGUAAGGAUGAGGUCACCAGUUCAAGUCUGGUUAAGGGCUCCA